AGUGAACGCUGGCGGUAGGCCUAACACAUGCAAGUCGAACGGCAGCACAGUAAGAUCUUGCUCUUACGGGUGGCGGGUGGCGGACGGGUGAGGAAUACAUCGGACUCUACUUUUUCGUGGGGGUUAACGUAGGGAAACUUACGCUCAUACCGCAUACGACGUACGGGUGAAAGCAGGGGAUAUUCUGACCUUGCGCGAUUGAAUGAGCCGAUGUCGGAUUAGCUAGUUGGCGGGGUAAAGGCCCACCAAGGCGAGGAUCCGUAGACGGUGGGGGAGAAUGGUCGGCGACCCUGGAACUGAAACACGGUCCAGACGCCUACGGGACGCAGCAGUGGGGAAUAUUGGACAAUGGGCGGAAGCAUGAUCCAGCGAUACCGCGUGGGUGAAAAAGGCGUUCGGGUUGUAAAGCCCGUUUGUUGGGUAAGAAAAGCAGCAGGUUGAUACCCCGCUGUUCUGACGGUACCCGAAGAAUAAGCACCGGCUAACUUCGUG
rnacentral:rRNA from 1 species